rnacentral:rRNA from 1 species
UAAUACGGAGGGUGCGAGCGUUGUCCGGAAUCACUGGGCGUAAAGGGCGCGUAGGUGGCUGGGGUAGUCAACGGUGAAAGCUCGGGGCUCAACCCCGAGUCGGCCGUCGAUACUCCUCGGCUCGAGCUUACUAGAGGCAGAUGGAAUUCCGGGUGUAGCGGUGGAAUGCGUAGAGAUCCGGAAGAACACCGGUGGCGAAGGCGGUCUGCUGGGGUAAGGCUGACACUGAGGCGCGACAGCGUGGGGAGCAAACAGGAUUAGAUACCCUGGUAGUCCACGCCGUAAACGAUGGGCACUAGGUGCUUGGGGGAGCGACCCCUUGAGUGCCGGCGCUAACGCAUUAAGUGCCCCGCCUGGGGAGUACGGCCGCAAGGCUG